UGUUUCUGUGUGAUACUGUUUGUAUGUUCUGUAUAGGGAUGUCAGACUUGUAUGAAAAGUUGGGUCUUCUGAAGCCAUAGAUAAAACCACACUCCUGUAAGAAUGCAGUCUCUCCCAUAGGGAGGAGCUCUUUAAUUGUUUUAAUGAUCUGGAAAUGUGGGCCUUAUUUGCAGGCUAGAUUUUAGGAUUCUAAACUUAAUUGUGCUCCCAUAUGGUGGGGAAAAUGUUCCUCUGUCCUAGGAAGCUCCUUCUUCCUACGGGUAACCAGGAAGGCUCUUCAUAGGGACAUUCCAAACUAAAUAUGAAUGAGCUAUUUUUUAUAAUACAUAUUUUAUUCACAUAUCACUUGAUCUCUUCUACAUGUCAUUAUAGCAGAAGUUUUAGAAUGAUUUGUUUCAAUGUCCUAACCCACUCUUGUGUGCCACCUUUAUGGCAAAGCAUUAAGGGGGAAUGUGGUCUGUAAAUCAAGAGAUGAGGUGGUUGUAGUAACAUUCUUUAGGUGCAGGCAACUAAAAAGCUGGAUUAUUGGUCCUAUAUAAUUUGGAGAAUUGUGUUUGAUUUUUAUUUAGAAGCUGAUGACAUUUCUAUUAAUAGAUAUGUUAAAAUGUAUAUUUAUGUCUAUGCUGAUGUUUAGGUGCAGUGGGAAAUAAUUUUUUAUAUGAAUGAGAACAUAUAUGUCUCAUUGAAUGUAUAUAGGAAAGUAUAUGCAUUUCUGUGUUACUAGGAAGGCUUCAGGGUCUGAAUUUUAUAUGUUCCAUCAGCCUGCCUGGAGAGGGAGGAGCACAACACAGACAGUUCUGUCUACCAUCACUUUCUCCCAGAACCUGGAGGUUCUUGAACAGAAUCAGAGUGAAAGAAGCCAGGCCAAAGCACCAAAAAAUCUCCAUCUACUGCUGUAAUCCCUCCACCCUUUGCCUGUACCUGAGGCUCUCCUGGGAGCACCAGGGACAGUAGCUGUAGAGCAGUCAGAAGAACUGUAACAAGCUGCAUCUUGCAUCAACUACAGGAUGGAGCUAGAGUGCAGUGGCACAAUCUCGGCUUCCUGCAACCUCUGGCUUCCCAGGGAUUCUCCUGCCUCAGCCUCCGGAGUAGCUGGAAUUGCAGGUUAAAUUCCAUGAUUCGGACGACCGACUCAAGAUGGCGCGGUGAGACCAACCCAGGAUUGAAGCUCUUGGUGAACGCGCAGAGGGAACAACUAUAUGGGUGAAGGAGAGAGGCUCACAGCACAGCCAAGAAUUUUAAGAAAAACGUAAGAUGAAAUCCUGGCUGGUGAUGAUUCUCGCUUUCCAGAUCUUUGUUCCUGUAUUAAGAUCUCAUCUUUAGAGCCCAUUUUUACUUCCUGGGCAGAAGUUGGAAAGAUUAUGAUAGGCACUGACUAAGGACUCCUCCUGGGAUUCAGAAUCAGGGAGGUAACACAAUAUGGAAAAAAACUUGUGCUAUGAACUUGCUGGCCCAGAAGUCAAGACUCAUGUGGUCAUUACAGAAAUUAGCCCCUCGUCUUCCCUAGGUUGAAUGCCAGCUUGAGGAUGCAGAGGCAGAGGAAGAAGUUUUAGAGACAUGUGGAUAGAGUGAGAAGAUGAGACGAUGAAAAGGAGAGCAGAUUUACAGAAAAAAAUCUCCUCUCCUUGCUUCUCCUUCAUUUUAAACCUGACAACAUGCCCAGAGACAUUGCCUUCCUAAAGACAUUCCUUCCUAAAGAGCAUGGCAACCUCUCUCUCUCUGCCUUUCCCUACAGAGUCAGGAUAAAACUUUGGAACAGCAGAUUUAUUCUAAAUCUGAGGUGGCCACACACUAUUUGAACAAAGAGGAGCAGAAGAUGAGAAGGAGGAUGAGAAGAGGCUGAGAAGUCUGGAAGAGGCUGAAGCCCAACUGGCCCAACAAGGCCAGAGCUGGAUGAACAGAUUUCAGAGCUGGAGCAGAGUAGUCAGAAAUCAGCACAGGCUCUGCUGUAGUUGAAAUUAAAAUAAAUUCCUCGUUCAGUUUUCAGAGAGAAAGAAAGUGAUCAAAACUUCUCCCUCAGAGUCCACAGAUCACAUUCUAUGGGGAGGAUGAAGACAUGUUUUGAGCCUUGCAGUAAACAUUGCAGAGCAGACAGACAUAA